GUAGCAUAUUGUAAACAAUUUAUUAUUUUGAAAAUGAAAGAAUAUAUAGUAAUUAAUAAAAUAUAUUUUUAAGUUUUUUCUAAUGAAUUAUGUGGAGUAAUGUGAAGAAAAUUUAGGAGAAAUUUUGAAAAUUCGCUUCUUUGUACGUAAUUCUAAAAGAAGAAGACUCGUCAAUUAUUCCAAAGUUUCUUCAAAACUUUGCUUUCCUUUUUAAUUUUUGGGGUAGUCUUGAAUUUAUAAUGUUUAUCAAGUGUGCGAGGGUUGAAACAUAUUAAAGCAUGCUCACUGGGCUUUUCUUCAUCAUCCAGCUAUUUUAUCAACUCAACAACUUCCCUUUUCCUACUUUUUUAUUUUCUUGGCUUAUUCCGUCUUGCAAUCAUGAACUACAAUGCUUGCUUUCAUCUUCUUUUAGGUUUAUUCAUACCAUGUUCCGUUGUUUGCUUGGCUAUGACAGCCAAGAAUCUCAACUCCGAUCAGUUUGCACUUCUCGAGUUUAAGGAUCGCAUUGUCGGUCCUCAAAAUGUCUUGGCAAACAAUUGGACUGCCUCAACCUAUGUUUGCAAUUGGAUUGGUGUUUCUUGUGGCAUCCUCCAUAAAAGAGUUAUAGCUUUGAAUCUUACAAGCAUGAAUCUUAGGGGUACUAUCCCUCCACACCUUGGAAAUCUUUCAUUUCUACUCUCUCUCGACUUGAGUAGCAACCAUUUCUAUGGCCAUCUCCCUAAAGAAUUGGGCCAAUUGCAUCGUUUGAGGAUCCUUCGAUUAAGCUACAAUCGUCUUAAUGGGGAAAUUCCAUCAUGGCUUGGGAACUUACAGAGAGUUCGAAGGCAGAAAAUGAAAAAUAAUAACUUUACAGGCACAAUCCUUGAAACACUUGUUAACAUGUCUAAUCUAGAGAUCUUGAACUUGGGAUUCAAUCAAUUAUCUAUUCAGGUUCCAUCUUCCAUCUUCAAGAUUUCUUCUCUCAAGAUUAUUAAUCUCUCCAGCAAUAAACUAUCAGGUAGUUUGCCUAAUGAUCUGUGUCAACAUCUUCCCAAGCUUGAAAGGCUUUACUUGAGUUGGAAUGAACUAUCUGGUAACAUUCCAUCAAGUAUGGGCAAAUGCAGCAACCUUAAAAGUUUGUCCUUGUCCUAUAAUCAAUUUAUGGGGAUCAUUCCAAGAAGUAUUGGAAAUCUGACAGCACUCCAGGAAUUAUAUUUGGGGUUUAAUAAUCUAGAAGGUCAAAUUCCUGAGGAAAUUGGUAAUCUUCUUGGCUUGGAACUGCUUAAUAUUCAAGCAAUUAAAGGCCUUACAGGUCAGAUUCCAACUUCGAUCUUCAACAUUUCUUCUCUGAAGACCAUUGAUCUCUCCAACAAUAGUCUAUCAGGUAAGAUUCCAUCAAGUAUAGCUGAAUGUUACCAGCUUCAGAAUUUAAGUUUAGUAGAAAAUCAAUUCAGUGGGCUGGUUCCAGAAAGUAUUUUUAAUUCAACUACCCUCCAAGAAAUAGAUCUAUAUGACAACAAAUUAGAAGGUAAUUUACCACCCAUCACCAAUGCUCCAAAGCUUGAGAAUCUUUUCUUGUGGGGAAAUAAACUUAGCGGAAACAUUCCCAACUCUAUCUCCAAUGCUUCCAUGCUUAAGGAACUAGACUUGUCAGAUAACUUAUUUUCUGGCCCAAUCCCUAAAACACUUGGCGAUUUAAGACACCUUGAAUGGUUCCAAAUUUUAAACAAUAAUUUGAUCAGAGGAUCUGCUACUGAUCAUGAGUGGACCUUUCUUUCUUCUUUGGCGAAUUGUAGGAAUUUGAGAUUUAUAGAAGUUUCAAGAAAUCCAUUGAGUGGCGUUCUUCCUACUUAUAUCGGGAACCUUUCAAAAUCCCUUCAAUACUUCUAUGCCUCUAAUUGUGAGAUUAAAGGCAAUAUUCCCAUGGAAAUAGGUAACUUAAGCAACAUGUUGGAUUUAGAUCUUGGCUAUAAUAAAUUAAAUGGAUUUAUUCCAACAUCAAUAGGAGGACUGCGAAAUCUCCAAGGUCUAGAUCUUUCCUCUAAUAAAUUAGGAGGGCCUAUCUCUGAAAGCCUAUGUGGUUUGGAGAGACUAUACGAGAUGUGUUUAGGGUUGAAUAAGCUGCAUGGAUCCAUACCCUCUUGUUUAGGUAAUAUUUCUGCUUUGAGAUAUCUUUGCUUAGAUUCCAACAAAUUGAGUUCUACAAUACCCUCAACUUUGUGGAAUCUUAAAGAUAUCUUAGAAAUAGAUCUAUCAUCAAACCAUCUGCACAAUUCACAUGCUAUUGAUGUUGGAAAUUUGAGGAGUCUACUGAAACUAAAUUUAUCAAGGAAUCUUCUCACAGGUGAUAUCUUAUCCACAUUUGGGGGUCUUCAAACUUUGAUUUCAUUAGAUUUAUCAAAUAAUGUACUACAUGGUCAUAUCCCUGAAUCAUUUGAUGGGUUGAUUAGUUUAGAAUUCUUGGAUUUAUGCAAUAACAAUCUCUCUGGAGUCAUUCCCAAAUCUUUGGAAAAGCUUUUACAUCUAAAGUAUUUUAAUGUGUCUUUCAAUAGACUUGAAGGGGAAAUUCCCACCGAAGGAUGUUUUUCAAAUUUUUCUAGCACAUCAUUCAUGAAGAAUUAUGCACUUUGUGGUCCACCUAGAUUGCUAGUCCCACCUUGCAAGAACGAUAUCCACAAAAACUCGCAAAUUAUUAUAUUGCAUGCUUUUAGGUAUGGUUUACCCACAAUUGGAAUUGUCAUAGUACUAAUAGUCUUAACUAUUAUGUAUAGAAGAUGCCAAAGAAGAAGUACAACUCUACCAAUUAAAGAUGAUUUGUUGUUUUUGAAAACACCGAGAAGAAUUUCACAUGCUGAACUUUCACGAGCAACUAAUGGAUUUGAGGAAAGAAAUAUGCUUGGUUCAGGGAAUUUUGGAUAUGUAUAUAAAGGGAGGCUUUCAGAUGGAAUGGAAGUUGCAAUAAAAGUUUUCAAUUUGCAAACAGAGGAAGCAUUUAGGAGUUUUGACAAUGAAUGUGAUGCUAUGCGUAAUAUAGUUCAUCGUAAUAUUGUGAAGGUCAUUACUUGCUGCUCAAGUGUUGACUUUAAAGCCUUGGUGCUUGAUUACAUGCCUAAUGGAAACCUCGAGAAAUGGUUACAUUCUGAAAAUUAUUUCCUUGAUAUCAUACAAAGGGUCGACAUAAUGAUAGAUGUUGCGGUAGCUAUAGAACACCUCCACAAUGGACAUCCAACACCUAUAAUUCAUUGUGACAUAAAACCAAGCAAUAUUUUACUAGAUGAAGACAUGGUUGCACAUGUUGGAGAUUUUGGCAUUGCCAAAUUGUUGGGAGAAGGUGAAGUAAUGAAGCAAACCAUGACUCUUGCAACUAUCGGGUAUAUGGCACCAGAAUUUGGAUCAGCAGGAAUUGUUUCUAUAAAAUCUGACGUUUAUAGUUAUGGGAUCGUCCUUAUAGAAACUUUCACAAAGAAAAAGCCAACUGAUAAUUUUUUUGUUGAAGAAGAGACUAUAAGGCAUUGGAUGGAAAGUUCAUUGCCUAAAGGAGCGAUAGAAAUUGCAGAUGUUGAUUUAUUAAGAAGAGAGGAUGAGUACUUUGUUGUUAAAGCUAAUUGUAUUUCAUUUAUCAUGGAGUUGGCUUUGAAUUGUUCAGCUAAGUUACCAGAAGAAAGAAAAGAUAUGAAAGAUGUUGUGGUUGAGCUGAAGAAAAUCAAACACAGGUUGUUAAACAACAUCGAACAGUUUUAACAGAGAUGAGACAAGUAUAACACAAUGGUCUUAACUGAGCUAGCUUGCCUCGUCAGUGGUUGUUGAUCAAGGAAAACAAAAGGAGGACACUAAGAAGAACGAAACUCCACAUCUUUACUAUCAUAUUCUACAAAACAAAGAGAAUUUUUUCUCGAUGAAAUUUGUAUUGGGCUAUCAAUGUUUCAUGGAUUAUGUUGUUUGUCUAAUUGAAGAGGAGGUUUUGCCAAUAUUGCAUGCAAAAUCAAAGUAAUAUUUGCCAAUGCUUAGCUUAAUCAACUCUAAUGCUACUGUGGAUUUGAUUUGUCUUUACAGUAUUUAGAGAUUAUUUUGUGGAUGUUAAAUUGCCUUUGGGCCUUUCAAAGAAA